ACAUCAAGCAGACCAGAGAGACACACUUCUAUGUUCCAGGUGAUUUCUUCACAGUUCAGUUCACUUUGAAUCAGACUGAGGUCAUCUUCUUCAUCAUCAUCAUCAGUCUUUUCAUUGUUAGCAUUGUUCUGCUGCUCUGUGCUUCCAUUUGGAUAUGGAACUGCUGCAAUAUAACAAAUAAGUGCAUCAAAGACAAUAAACAGUAAAGCCAGAAAUCAAGAAGGAUGAUGCAAAUAUGAAUGUUUAUGAACUCAAAGAAGACUGAAGGACCAGCGUCGAAGACCAGGGAAUAUGAGACCAAAGACCGUUUGAAUACAGCAAGACAGUUCUGAACAUGGACUAAAAACCUGUCGUGACCAAAAACAACCAGGAGGUGACAGAAAAGAACAGCAGAGGAAAUCAGUUCUGUCCUGACUGUUUGUUGUAAUGAGUAACACUCUAUAAUUCAAGUGAUCGGUUAUUCAGGACACCGAGGACGACCUUUACAUCGUGGAAGAAAAGCUGAUAUUUGAAAAUUGAGUUGUUUUGAUGAACACGAACUGUCCCAAUUUAUGAUGUAACAUGGUGUCAACAUUAUUUCCAUGGAGUCUAACAGCUCGUGUCUUUGUUAUUCCAAAUGGAACUCUUUGAGUAAACUUACUGACAUGAACAUUUGUUGACAUGGAGUGGAGAUUCUGAGUGUAUUCUUUUUUAUGUUUCUGUUUCUUGUAUAUCUGUAAAUUCUUGGUGUUGUUUAAGUGUAAAUACUGUAUAUAUAAGUACUUUAUAUAAUUACUUAUUCACAUUCAUUAAAGUCUGCUGUCAGAGGUGG